CACGUAGGGUGCGAGCGUUGUCCGGAAUUAUUGGGCGUAAAGAGCUCGUAGGCGGUGUGUCGCGUCGGCCGUGAAAACCUGCAGCUUAACUGUGGGCUUGCGGUCGAUACGGGCAUCACUGGAGUUCGGCAGGGGAGACUGGAAUUCCUGGUGUAGCGGUGAAAUGCGCAGAUAUCAGGAGGAACACCGGUGGCGAAGGCGGGUCUCUGGGGCCGGAUACUGACGCUGAGGAGCGAAAGCCGUGGGGAGCGAACAGGA
rnacentral:rRNA from 1 species